rnacentral:rRNA from 1 species
CCUACGGGCGGCAGCAGUGGGGAAUAUUGCACAAUGGGGGAAACCCUGAUGCAGCGACGCCGCGUGAGUGAAGAAGUAAUUCGUUAUGUAACGCCCUAUCAGCAGGGAAGAAAAUGACGGUACCUGAGUAAGAAGCCCCGUCUAACUACGUGCCAGCAGCCGCGGUAAUACGGAGGGGGCAAGCGUUAUCCGGAUUUCCUGGGGGUAAAGGGAGCGUAGACGGCAGGGCAAGUCUGGAGUGAAAGGCGGGGGCUCAACCCCCGGCCUGCGCUGGAAACUGUACGGCUGGAGUGCAGGAGAGGGAAGUGGAAUUCCUGGUGUAGCGGUGAAAUGCGUAGAUAUUAGGAGGAACACCAGUGGCGAAGGCGGCUUACUGGACUGUAACUGACGUUGAGGCUCGAAAGCGUGGGGAGCAAACAGGAUUAGAUACCCUGGUAGUC